rnacentral:lncRNA from 1 species
GCUUCCAAACGAGGCUGGGAUUUUUCUAAAGAAAUAUUAUUAUUUAAUAAAUAUUUUCUCAAAAUACAGCCAAACAGGAUUUAUUUCUAUAAAAUCCACGAUUUCAUGUCCAAGUACCAAGCUGCAUGUCGUGAAGGUGGCUUCAAGCCACAAUUUCAGUAUGAUCCUUUUUCCCGACCACGAUCACUCACUCCCUGCUCCUAUGUCU